UUUGCCCUUUGUUUACCUGCUACCUGGAAAUUAACAGAUGGCUGGGGCCAGGUAAAGAGUGAUCUCAUGCCAUGGAAGAAUGAACACCUGUGAUAUCCUGGAUUGAGGGCUUUGCUGUCAGUAUUUGCUGUCAACAUAUGGAGGCCAGCUUAAAUGGAUUCUUAUUUCACUAUUUGUUUUGCUUUCAUUGAAGCCUGUGCUUAAUUGCGAGAAAGUUGUAUGCGUUACCUAUAAAUCCAUGUGCUUAUAUUAAAAAAUGGAAAAGAUAAUAAAAGGAUUCUAGUGCCCGUAGGCCUCAUGUUCGAGACCCUUCCCAUAUAUUAUGCCUUUACUCAGGUGCUGGAUCUGCAGCAAGCCAGCAGAGAGAUGCCUGUCAGUUGCAAGCAUGCUGCAUUGUGCAAGGUCUUCCAACUCACCCAGCGCAUGCCGAACUGAGAUGAGCUGAGCUCUUUGCAUGGUUUUCCAGUGGUGGAAGUGCAGCAGCUGGGAGAUCCAAGGAGAGAAGUUGCGCUUCUGCUUGAUGUGACUUGUGGAUCUUGAAGAGCCUAAGUGGACUUUCAGAGAUUGUGUUCUACCAGUCGAAUGAGAUCCCAUAAAACUCUGAACCGUGGGAUGACUGUGCAGCUAAGAUGCGCCAACAAUGGGGUUGAAUUGCAGGAGGGGUGAACAUCCCUGUGGACAGGGCCGAUCUUACUGCUUUUCUAGCGUUGCUUAGUGCCUGGACUGUGUCUUCUCCUGGCAAGAUCAGCUCUGACCUUCGAAACAGUUCUCAGCUUGCACUGUUCGGACAUAUUGUAAAUGCAGAGAGGUCCGCCUGGCGCCAUCGUUAUUUGCUUUUCUGCACCAGGCCAAGACCUUUUUAUUUAAACGUCAUUUUAAUUGUUAAUUUUAUUUAUUGAUUUUAACAACUUUGGGCAGGAUGUCUCCAACUGUAUUUUAUUGUAUCUAUGAUACUUAUUCAUGUUUGUAAGUCGCCCAGAGGCUUAUGCGAAUGGGGCGGCAUAUAAGUCUGCUAGCUAGCUAAAUAAAUAAAUGGGGCUGUUUUUGAAGAACUUUCAGAAACUGGCUGAUCCAGAGGGCAGAAGCCAAGAUUUUGCAAAACCAUUUCGCAAAUGAUAUUGCUGUACUUUUCGCAUGCUGCCCAAACAUUGCAUGGCUUUCCAGAUAACCAAGUGGUUCAGCUGAUUGUGAUUUCAGGAGAUCAUGUUAAAUUUUGACCCAUCAUUAGUAGAAGAGACUUUGCAUUCAAAGUUCAUUUUUCUAUUGAAAAAAAUAAUUCUCCAAUAUUUAUUUAUUUAUGUUUGCUUAUGUAUGGCACUUGUAUGCCAACCCAUAGCCAAAGGUUCUCUGGGUGACUCACAGCGCAGCCAUAAACUGUGAUACAGGAUAAAAAUAGAAAACACAUAAAAAUAAAUAGCAAUAAUAACUAUGCCAA